rnacentral:lncRNA from 1 species
CUCAUCCGGUGUUUCCAUUACAAAGGGGAGCGCACACGCUUUGAUGGAGAAGUGCUGGGACCUGAAAGUUUGAUCUUUCCCGUCCUGAUCUGGAGGCAGCACUUGGAACAACGAGUGACCUAACAGCUACAGACAUGACAACACUUCAGACUUGGAUAACCACGGCAGUUUGUGUUCGAUUUGUCCCCUAAAAUAAGUGGAUUUGGAAUUGCUGCUUGGAAUUUA